rnacentral:rRNA from 1 species
UACGUAGGGUGCGAGCGUUAAUCGGAAUUACUGGGCGUAAAGCGUGCGCAGGCGGUUUUGUAAGCCAGAUGUGAAAUCCCCGGGCUUAACCUGGGAAUGGCAUUUGGGACUGCAAGGCUCGAGUGCGGCAGAGGAGACUGGAAUUCCUGGUGUAGCAGUGAAAUGCGUAGAUAUCAGGAGGAAUACCGAUGGCGAAGGCAGGUCUCUGGGCUGACACUGACGCUGAGACGCGAAAGCGUGGGGAGCAAACAGG